rnacentral:lncRNA from 1 species
CUUACAGUUCAAAAGGAAACACAAUAAUGUAUAGGAGGCUCAUAUUAUUUUAAACAAAGUCGCAUUAGGACCUUGAAAAAGUGAACUGUUGCUCUUGUAGAGACCAGGAGAAGAUACAAGUAAACAACUCCAGAAUAUUUACAACGAGGAAAUGCAUACUAAUGCCAUCUCUUGAAAAUGAAUGGAGAAACAGGGUAUUGGUAGAGAUGUCAACAGCAUCAAGAAAAGGCUUGUGGCGUAUGAAUGGAAAAGGCAAGCUUGAGUAGCAUAAAGAUAACCAGUCAGUACCCGAUUUGUCAUUUGCCAAAUACAGUUACCUAACUUUCAUAAUGACCAGCAUCUAAACCCAGCACCGUAAGAGAUUUUUAAUGCUUAAUCAUUAAAAAGAGAAGCAAAGACAAUUCAGAGGUACUUCAUGAAUUCUUGUACAAAUCUUACUUAUGAUCCUGACAGGUUUGACUUGAAUGCUGUGAAGUAUAUGCAGAGAGACAACAUAUAAAAUUCUCAUAAAAAGCUAGAGUAUGGAUGACAAAGUACAGUAGAAAUUUCACUGACCACAGACGACAGAAGGGAGAGCUGUUUUCUUUGAGCUGCUCAGUAAAUCGAGAAAGAAAAACAUUCAAGAGCCAAUCAAAAUCUGAGUAUCCCUUUGAUGACAUAUGGGAUUGAUAACUACACUGACAGCGAAGCCGAGAAUGCCUCAGGAUUCAGGAAGCAGAAGUUUCUUACACAGACCAGCUGAGCUGAGGAAGUGAACUAUAUGAUCUUUUUAAUUAAAAAAAAAAGAAGAAGAAAUUAGCCUAGCAGGAAUACAUAGUGUCUGAUUUGACUAAGUGUAAUUAAAAGCUUACGUUUUCAGGGACUUAGGAUGAAACCGUUAGAACUGUUUUCUUUGUUGACUCUGAGAUUUAUGUUACUUGCAUGAGACCUCGUGUAUUUUUACAACAUGAAAUGCCUUGACCCUGAGUUAUUACGCUUUUUAAUCUUUUCCUUUUAAAGCUCAAAGGCAAGACACGAUAUAGCCUGCAGACUUUUUUUUCCCCCAGAAUGGUAUGUAUAUGUCCUGUGCUACAAGUCUGAACCAAGAAGAAUAGUUUUACUAACCAGGGUUAGCAACUAACACCACCUGUUAACCACCAAAUAAGGAGACACAUUGUUCUUUCAUUGAGCUCUUAUUUGCCUUUAAGAAAUCUGCCUAAAAGGGACCUUAAACAUUUUCCUGCUACGUUUAUUGUCUUUAUGGAAUAUUGUACUUUAUGGAAAUUUAUAACAGACAUAUUUAUAAAACCUACCAAGAUGGCAACUGUCUACUCUAAAGUUAAAACGGAUAUUGUAAUUUUAUACUAUAAUACUGAUCUAAUUAACAUGCGAAGGGAUUAGCUACUAUGACACUGGAUGCUAUAGAAACCUCAGGUUAUACAGAUAAUUAGAGACUGAAGAGAAUUCAUGAUCCUCCAGGGCAUGAAUAAGAACAGCUACGCUCAGCUUCUGCUCUAAACCAUCCCUUGCAGUAGCUCAUCUCUCUUCACUGACUACAGUGAGAGUUUCGAGAGAUUUAGCCAAAGCUAUAAUUAGCCUGCAUGCAUUCCCACUAAGUACCAGUGCACAGACUUCCAUCAAAUUCAAUGGAACCUGAGUCAAAUUGCUAGAGCAUUCCUGCUAAUACAGUAUAGCGUGAGAUAGUUUCGCAGACUAAGAAUUCUGUUACAUUGCUUUUUUGGUAGAAUGGCAUUCAUAGCCUCAACCUAUAAUUCUCAUUUAAAAUUUAAUUUCUAAUAUGGAAUGAAUACAUCUGCUAGCCAUAAAUAUUUCUAAAAUGUUAAUAAAAUGAUAUGACCUCCGAG